UAUAAAUUUAAUUAUUAAUUUUUUAUAUUUAAAAUAUUUUUUUAUUUAUUAUUUUAUUAGAAAAAUUUGUUUUUAUUAUAGUUUAUUAUGUAAAGUGAUUGAAUUUUAUUUAAAUUUUUAAAAGUAGAUUUUAUUUAUUGUACCUUGUGUAUCAGGGUUGAUUAAUUUAAUAUUUUUUAUUUAAUUUUCUCGAAUUAAAAAGUUCUAAUUAAUUAUAUGUUUAAUUUUUUCAAAAAUUUUCUUAAUUUUUAGUUAGUAAUGAAACGUUAUUCGUUUUUUAAUAUAUCUAGUUUUUAAAGAAAAGAAUUUAAUUCUUUUAUUAUUUAUUUAUUAAUUAAUUUUUAGUUAAUAAAUUUUAGUAUAAAAUAUAUAAGGGGAUAAGCUUUUAUUUAUAUAAUUAAAAAUAUUUUAAAUUUUUAUUUUUUGUAUAAUUUAAAUUGUUAGUCAUAUAAAUAAUUUAAUAGUUAAUUUUAUUGUAUUAAAGAUUUUUAUUUAUUUUAAUUUUUAUAUUUAAAAGAAUUGUUUAAUUUAAUAUCUUUUGUUAUUAUUAUUAAAUUAGUAGAUUAAUGUUUUAUUUAAUAUUUAAAUUUUUAGGUAAUAAAAAGGAACUCGGCAAAUAAAUUUUUCGCCUGUUUAUUAAAAACAUGUCUUUUUGAUUAUAAUUUAAGGUCUAAUCUGCUCAAUGAUUAAUUAAAUUGCCGCAGUAUCUUGACUGUGCAAAGGUAGCAUAAUAAUUAGCUUUUUUAUUGGAAGCUGGAAUGAAUGAUUGGACGAGAAAAUUUCUGUCUCUUUAUUAUUUUUAUUGAAUUUUACUUUUAAGUUAAAAGGCUUAAAUUUUUUUAAUAGACGAGAAGACCCUAUAGAGUUUAAUUUUUAAUAUUUAAUUUAUUAUUUAGAAUUUUUAAUAUUUUAUUUAGUAAAAAAUUUAGUUGGGGUGACUGAAAGAUUUAUUUAACUCUUUUAAUUAAUAUCAUUUAUUUAUGAAUAUAAAAUCUAUAUUUUUAAGUUUAAAAUAAAUUACCUUAGGGAUAACAGCGUAAUUUUUCUUUAGAGUUCUUAUUAAUAGAAAAGUUUGCGACCUCGAUGUUGGAUUAAAAUUUAUUUUAGGUGUAGAAGCUUAAAAAUUAAGUCUGUUCGACUUUUGUAAUUUUACAUGAUCUGAGUUUAAACCGGUGAGAGCCAGGUUGGUUUCUAUCUUUAAAUUUUUAAUAUAUUUUAGUACGAAAGGACCAAAUAUUUAAUAUAUUAUUUUAAUUUGAAUAUUAUU
rnacentral:rRNA from 1 species